CUACUCGAUGAAGAGUCCCAAAAUGGGACGAAACAGCUGUCCAGUAC
rfam:Trichobilharzia regenti genome assembly, scaffold: TRE_scaffold0028148